rnacentral:rRNA from 1 species
CACGUAGGGCGCAAGCGUUGUCCGGAAUUACUGGGCGUAAAGGGCUCGUAGGCGGCCAACUAAGUCGGAUGUGAAAUCCCCAGGCUCAACUUGGGAACUGCAUCCGAUACUGGAUGGCUUGAAUUCGGGAGAGGGAUGCAGAAUUCCAGGUGUAGCGGUGAAAUGCGUAGAUAUCUGGAGGAAUACCGGUGGCGAAGGCGGCAUCCUGGACCGACAUUGACGCUGAGGAGCGAAAGCUAGGGGAGCAAACGGG